rnacentral:rRNA from 2 species
UCCUGGCUCAGAUUGAACGCUGGCGGCAGGCCUAACACAUUGCAGUCGAGCGGUAACAGAGAGUAGCUUGCUACUCUGCUGACGAGCGGCGGACGGGUGAGUAAUGCUUGGGAAUAUGCCUUAUGGUGGGGGACAACAGUUGGAAACGACUGCUAAUACCGCAUGAUGUCUACGGACCAAAGUGGGGGACCUUCGGGCCUCACGCCAUAAGAUUAGCCCAAGUGGGAUUAGCUAGUUGGUGAGGUAAUGGCUCACCAAGGCGACGAUCCCUAGCUGGUUUGAGAGGAUGAUCAGCCACACUGGGACUGAGACACGGCCCAGACUCCUACGGGAGGCAGCAGUGGGGAAUAUUGCACAAUGGGCGCAAGCCUGAUGCAGCCAUGCCGCGUGUGUGAAGAAGGCCUUCGGGUUGUAAAGCACUUUCAGUAAGGAGGAAAGGUUAAGUGUUAAUAGCACUUAGCUGUGACGUUACUUACAGAAGAAGCACCGGCUAACUCCGUGCCAGCAGCCGCGGUAAUACGGAGGGUGCGAGCGUUAAUCGGAAUUACUGGGCGUAAAGCGUACGCAGGCGGUUUG